ACAUACUAGCUGAAAGCCUGAAAUUAGUUAGGUUCACAAUUUAGAGUUUACUCACGUUCCCGUAUUCUGAUUAAAGACAUCUACGUUUGAAAUAAAUUACUGAGUUUUGUAUCGUUGGUUACCUUGGAACUCCAUAUCAAUGGCAGAAAAUAUUUUAAGUUUAGCUGAGAAAGCAUUCAUUCAUCAUGGAGUCCAGGAUGAUCAUUUUACGAAGUGAUGGUAGAUCAAUGCUGGAUUAUUGCCCUAUAAUUCUUGAAAGUUGAAACUAGAUAAGUUUCAAAUGCCAGUGGAUCGGCAAGGCUGAGACUUGCAAUUACUCUGAUAUUCUUGUUGGAGUCAAAGUAGACAUAACUUUUAUCUGAUAAGCCCAAAGAACGAAGGCUGGAGUUCUAUUUCUAUGUGGAUGGCUCUACUAAUGCAACACCAGAAUUUAAAGGAAGAGGCGAAUAAAAUCUGGAGAAUGAAAUUUGUAAAUUCCUACAAAGAUCUUAUGCUUCAGAUUCUUGAAUGUGGAGGGAACCCUUAUGAUGCAGUGUCAUAGCUGAGAAAUCGGCUCUUUAUGCAACCCAAAUUCCAUUAAAAUAGCAACCAUGGACGGAUAUCAACCUGAUCUUGAGUUCUCAGAUGAUCCCACACAGCACAUUUGGUUCCUUGGGACCUCCUUAGAUCCUCUUAGUUUUCUCCCCAGUCUUUCCUAUUGAGUCCCUAGA